CCUACGGGUGGCAGCAGUGGGGAAUAUUGGGCAAUGGAGGCAACUCUGACCCAGCAACGCCGCGUGAAUGAUGAAGGUCUUCGGAUUGUAAAGUUCUUUUCUAAGGGAAGAAGAAAGUGACGGUACCUUAGGAAUAAGCCUCGGCUAACUACGUGCCAGCAGCCGCGGUAAUACGUAGGAGGCAAGCGUUAUCCGGAAUGACUGGGCGUAAAGGGUGCGUAGGUGGUGUGACAAGUUAGUAGCGCAACUCCGGAGCUCAACUUCGGAACUACAUGUGUAGCGGUAAAAUGCGUAAAUAUAUGUAAGAACACCAGUGGCGAAGGCGGCUUGCUGGGUCGAUACUGACAUUGAGGCACGAAAGCGUGGGGAGCAAACAGGAUUAGAUACCCGAGUAGUC
rnacentral:rRNA from 1 species